rnacentral:rRNA from 1 species
UACGUAGGGUGCAAGCGUUAUCCGGAAUUAUUGGGCGUAAAGAGCUCGUAGGCGGUUUGUCGCGUCUGCUGUGAAAACCCGAGGCUCAACCUCGGGCCUGCAGUGGGUACGGGCAAACUAGAGUGCGGUAGGGGAGAUUGGAAUUCCUGGUGUAGCGGUGGAAUGCGCAGAUAUCAGGAGGAACACCGGUGGCGAAGGCGGGUCUCUGGGCCGAUACUGACGCUGAGGAGCGAAAGCGUGGGGAGCGAACAGG